rnacentral:rRNA from 1 species
UACGUAGGGACCGAGCGUUGUCCGGAAUCAUUGGGCGUAAAGAGCGUGUAGGCGGCUACUUAAGUCCUGCGUGAAAUCCUGCGGCUCAACCGCAGGCGGUCGUGGGAAACUGGGUGGCUAGAGUGCGGGAGAGGAGAGUGGAAUUCCUGGUGUAGCGGUGGAAUGCGCAGAUAUCAGGAAGAACACCCGUGGCGAAGGCGGCUCUCUGGAACGCAACUGACGCUGAGGAGCGAAAGCGUGGGGAGCGAACAGG